rnacentral:rRNA from 1 species
CCUCGGAUCAGGUAGGAAUACCCGCUGAACUUAAGCAUAUCUAAGACGGGGAAAGGAAA